UGUUGGCGUAGCGAGGCUAAGUAGGACACAGUAGGGCAUUCAAUGAUGCAGCCCGAAAAACGCUGCGCAUAACGUGUUACAUCUGUGAUACAUAUGUUUCCAAAUCCAAUGCGUGUUGAUAUUAAACAGCGCUUGUCAAACAUUACGUAUUAACAAGAUAUAAAGGGGAACUCAAAACAGACAACGGCGGUCCAGUUUGCGCCUCUGUCUCGUCCCGUCUGCUCGCCCCAAGUUGUCUGACGUUUCCCAUUCCCGUCUUUUUAUCUUCGUUUGCUGCACAAUGACAUCGCAAAAGUACAAGUCUCCCUAGUUUUUAUAUAUAUAUAUGCGUGCUCCCACCCGUGGACUCCUCGCCCUCCUCCUCCCCGACAGCCUAUUCUGAAAGUGUCCCGGUCCUGCAACGUUAUUUUGCAACGUCGACAUCGGCACUUUCAACAUAACGUACAAGGCACACCUAAACAGUUAAAGAAGGCCGAAAGCAAAACCCGAUAACGGUGCCGGGAGGAUAAAAAUGACAUUGCAGUACUUACAUUCUCUGUGUCGCGCUCAUUCACCGUGGGCAAUGGCGUUCUGGUCGACAUUUUGUGUUUUUUAGGCCGCUUCGCAAAGCAACAAGCUUUCGGAGCGCAAAACAAGGGGGGCACUGAGAAUGGGGGGUGCUUUUUCCACCUUCUACACCUCCGACGGCAUUUUGAGCCCGACCGUCCGAACCCCAGUCUUUUCCGCUACAGCAUAUUUCGCUCCGGGCCCGCUAGGAGCCGGGUGGACGGGUCUAAGCGGCGUCUGAACGCGUCCUCCAGCAUGGAAGAAACCUUUACCUGUUGCUUUACAGUAUAUUUGACUGAAUAUCACAAAUGAGAACAGGCACACACAGCCGAAUGUGAGAACUCAGCCCACCCUGUCCUACAGAGUCUCACACAGACAGCCCGGCCACUGAUCUGAUAUUCAUUCCAACACCUGGACGACGGGCUCAGGACCCAGGACCUAGGGAUCUAGCAGAGAUCCUUCUUUUAAACCACAGACCCGGAAUUCGAGGAACGAAAUGUGAAAUUAGAGAAGAUGCAAAGUCUUGCUUGGUCCCCUCCCUGCUGACACGGCUCCCUCUCUUUCCCGGUACGGGGCCUGAUCAUAUGCACAGCGAGUGGGAGGACAGCAGAGCGAGCUAGCGGACAGAUGGUGUUGUGACAGCUCCGUCUGGACGAGAUCUGUGCACUGAAAACCCUGUCAGGAGAGGUGACAAUUAAAGCCUGCUCCGCCGACCAGACGUGAUCGCAGGUCCUGUGAGCGGCGACAAUCAGCUGAAACCGCCGCCGCCAACUGACAGUGCCUCAAACCUGCACUCGCUAUGCGCGCAGCGCUGUCCCGCGGAGUAC
rnacentral:lncRNA from 1 species